CCAAGGAGCACCUCCAGGAGCUAAUUUACACGUGAUAGGUGGCUCUCUGUCACAGAAGGCAAGACCUUGGUCCAGAACUUCAGACCUCUACAAUGCGACCUUCAGAUUACGUUUGUUCAUUUGGCCCACGGACCAGAUCAGUUGCCCCAUAGUUGGGACCUUCAUGGAGAAAAUAAACUCUUAGGCAUUUGCAGCUCUUCUUACCUGCAGACAACACUGCUUUUGGUAACCCAAGGGCCAUCCUCCAAAGAAGAACUUCUGGUGUUGGGUGUUAGAGUCGAAAACAGACCAAAAUGUGAGAUGGAAUACACAAAAGAGGAAGAGAGAGUUAAGAGUAUCUGAAGGGAACACCAUCAUUACCUGUCAUGUUGUCUGCGUCUACCAUGGUCCAUCACAUUUUUCCAGACAGGUGGAAUGCCCAGGGAUAUAAUGGACACCACUAGCAUUGCGGCUUUAAAUCUUUGAGGGUAACUCUAGCAACUCUGCCGGGGAUAUCUCCAAUCAUCCUACCAGUCAGGAAUGGUUAAAUGUUUUUCCUGAGUGAACAGUUGGGAAACAUGUUUCAUUAGCUUUCUAUGAAGGUCCUGCAGGAUUGAGUAAUUUAUAACAGUUUUUCCCUCUUCCCCUGUUUUCCUAUCCUUAUCCCUAACUCUUGAUUGCUGGCGAACACAUCUCAAAAUAAGGCACCUACCAUAAGCUUUUGUUUCAGGUAUGUAUUUUGAAGACACAGGCCAAGAUUUCUGUUAUCAAGAGGGAUCCUAGGAAGCAGACCCUCCAGCACAUUACAAGAUUGUUCAAGAGUACUAUAAAUGAUGUCAGACACCAUCAGAAAUCACUUCAGAAAAUCAUUGCCUGUGGCCGGAUCAAAAGAUGGAUUCAGAAAUCUAGAGACACGCAAGGAACUUGAUUGUGGCUUUUACUGGUUUCUGUUACCCGAAUGUCUGUGAGCGCCAGGACCCAAACUCCAUGAAUGCUGGGAGCUUUGUCUCUUUUCCUCACUGCUGUACCCCCAGCGUCUAGAAUAAUCCCCGGCAUACAGUAGACACUCAACCAACAUUUGGUGAACAAACAAAUGAAGGAGGAGGGUGAUUGUAUUUGCAGAUUUGUGUUCUCAAAAUGUCUGUCCCCUCCCUUCCCCCUCUCAGACUUUGGGAAAACCUGCAGGGAUUAAUUGAUAAACAAUGUAAUCUUUUUAGUCUUUUUAUGGGAUAUUCCCCAAACUGUGCUCUGAUCUUAUCUUUAAAACCAGCAAAAAAUGAAUUAACAAGAACCCAGUAAAGCUAAGCAGGAGCAACAAAUAAGUAGCCCAAAUUAAGAGGAUGCGAAUGCAAUUCUUUUCUUCUUGACCAGUUAGCAUUCAAACCCUCUCUUGCUCAAGGUUGUUUCUCCCGGGCAGAAGAAAAUGAAUUAUUGGAUGAAUAAAGUUGGAGAAGGCUGACUCUUUUA